rnacentral:rRNA from 1 species
AGCUACCCCAGUUAGCACUCCGCCCUGGCGAGUACGGUCGCGAGGACUGAACUUCAAAGGAAUAGACGGGGGCCGGCACAUUCGGUGGAGCAUGUGGCUUAAUACGAAGCAACGCGAAGAACUUACCCAGGUCUUGACAUCCCGUUGACCCUGUAUAGAUAUAGUUUCCCCUUCCGGGGGCAACGGUGACAGGUGGUGCAUGGUUGUCGUCAGCUACGAGUCGUGAGAUGUUGGGUUAAGUCCCGCAACGAGCGCGACCCUUGAUCUUAGUUGCCAUCAUUUAGUUGGGCACUCUAAGGUGACUGCCGGUGACAAACCGGAGGAAGGUGGGGAUGACGUCAAAUCAUCAUGCCCCUUAUGACCUGGGCUACACACGUGCUACAAUGGACGAUACAAACGGUUGCCAACUCGCGAGAGGGAGCUAAUCCGAUAAAGUCGUUCUCAGUUCGGAUUGUAGGCUGCAACUCGCCUACAUGAAGCCGGAAUCGCUAGUAAUCGCGGAUCAGCAUGCCGCGGUGAAUACGUACCCGGUACCUGUACACACCGCCCGUCACACCACGAGAGUUGUAACACCCGAUUCUAGAGU